AUUGAACGCUGGCGGCAUGCUUUACACAUGCAAGUCGAACGGUAACAGGGUGCUUGCACCGCUGACGAGUGGCGAACGGGUGAGUAAUGCGUCGGAACGUGCCGAGUAGUGGGGGAUAACGCAUCGAAAGGUGUGCUAAUACCGCAUACGUACUGAGGUAGAAAGUGGGGGACCUUCGGGCCUCACGCUGUUCGAGCAGCCGACGUCUGAUUAGCUAGUUGGUGAGGUAAAGGCUCACCAAGGCGACGAUCAGUAGCGGGUCUGAGAGGAUGAUCCGCCACACUGGGACUGAGACACGGCCCAGACUCCUACGGGAGGCAGCAGUGGGGAAUUUUGGACAAUGGGCGAAAGCCUGAUCCAGCAAUGCCGCGUGCAGGAUGAAGGCCUUCGGGUUGUAAACUGCUUUUGUACGGAACGAAAAGGCGCCUACUAAUACUGGAUGUUGAUGACGGUACCGUAAGAAUAAGCACCGGCUAACUACGUGCCAGCCGCCGCCGUAAUAC
rnacentral:rRNA from 1 species